UACAGAGGUCCCAAGCGUUGUUCGGAUUCACUGGGCGUAAAGGGUGCGUAGGUGGUGAGGUAAGUCGGAUGUGAAAUCUCCGGGCUCAACCCGGAAAUGGCAUUGGAAACUACCUUGCUUGAGGGUUUGAGGGGGAGUUGGAAUACUUGGUGUAGCAGUGAAAUGCGUAGAUAUCAAGUGGAACACCAGUGGCGAAGGCGAAUCCCUGGAAAAUACCUGACACUGAGGCACGAAAGCUAGGGGAGCAAACAGG
rnacentral:rRNA from 1 species